CAUGAGUGGCGGACGGGUGAGUAACGCGUGGGCAACCUGCCCUGUACAGGGGGACAACACUUAGAAAUAGGUGCUAAUACCGCAUAACGGGGGAGCCGCAUGGCACCCCCCUGAAAACUCCGGUGGUACAGGAUGGGCCCGCGUCUGAUUAGCUGGUUGGCAGGGUAACGGCCUACCAAGGCGACGAUCAGUAGCCGGCCUGAGAGGGCGGACGGCCACACUGGGACUGAGACACGGCCCAGACUCCUACGGGAGGCAGCAG
rnacentral:rRNA from 1 species